GGGGAAACUCGACGAAUAAUGGGUAAAAACCCAUCAAAAUCAGCUUGGAACCCCCUGGAAGUGUGUGAUACCUGACCCUGGAGUGUCCCGGUGCAGCUGGAGCACCUGAUAUCGGGUGGACCGGGUCCCGGUGAGACGCUCCGGGGCUGGGGAGACUGAGGCCUACCCGGGAAGGGAGCGGGGUGGACGGCCGCCGCCUCACUUUCCGUCCCCGGCAAAUACCGAGACCCAUGACAAAUCUGGGGCCCCCGGCCUCGCUUACCCCCCCUUUGGGCUGGCGGGGGUUAUCCCGGCCCCCACCGGGCAGACACCAUCGCGGCAGUGUUUCUGGGCGACUAGCCGCCGAUAGCCACCAUGCGGCCCCCACAAAAUGGCCGACAGCGAGGCACCUAUUUGGCACACCGCUGAGGGAAGCUCCCACACCACUCAGCCAGGGCUAUGAACACCCAUGGCAUUUACCAGCAGUCAUGACGGGGCGACAGCAGAGACCUGCCAUUCUGCUGAACAGUCACCCCACAAGCAGACUUACACGCCAGCAGAGGACCCAACGCUUACCUGCACUGAGCGUGCCCCACUGGAGAUCUCGAGACCCCAAGCGACCAGCUCAUCACAGCGUUAGCUACAUCUGGGUACUGUGCCCAUAAAGCAACUUACCCGCACUCACACACCAGCUGGGUACACAGCCGAGGUGGUCCGCAGACACUUUAACCCACAGAGGGACCCACAGCUCCAAAGGACGCAGAGAUGCUCUAUGAGGAACAUCUGGGUGCCGGAGAAAAGGACACUGCUCAACACCAUCCACAACUCUAAAGCAACAGGUACCCCAGCGCCAUGUGACAGACGGCAAUUAAAGCAAAAGCUGCUAGACCUGCUGCUAACAGCCCCACUCACAGAAACCCUGGCUGUGAACACUUCCAAAUGGACACAUCUACUACCGACACUUAGUGCAGUUAAUCACUUAAUAUGCCAUAACCUGCCUGGUGGCAACUGUUUAACUUACCUGUGUAAUCUCUCUUAGAUAAGCUGUUAAUACAGGUGAACAUCAGUCUACUCACCUGCCUAAUCGACCUUGGGUCUUAAGCUGAGCCCUAAUCACCACCUAGCCUAAAUUAAGGGGGCAGCCCAAGCCGGGUUAGAACCUGCAUUAGACCUAAUCACUCUUAUGAGGCGACAUAAACAGACAAGACAAGCGACGGUAAUGGCAACAGCUCAGGUCUUGUACUACAUAACUUAGAUGAGAACAGAUGAAUAUCUUGCAAUCACAGAAAUGUUAUGUAUAAUGCACCCAUACUACGUCAGUGUUAUUAUUACUCAUGUUAUUUCACUACUUAUCCCUUUAAAAUUGCAUAAGCUUUCCCAAGCGGUAAACCCCCUGUAGGCAACACGAUUUUAUUUUACUUAAAGGCAACCGAGCCAGUUCCUGCUAUCAGCAGCCCACUGGAACUAACUGGGGGCAUAGACCCACAAAUCUACUUGCAGCAACAGGUAGAGGCCUGAUACUGGGAAAGGGGAGUUUAACUCGGGGCUCUAGGGCAAUAACCUAAUCCUCCCUGCAACAACCAAACGAACUUGCUACCAUAGUUAACUAUACCUAGCUUGUAUGCAGCCUAGUCUACCCCAACCUUACUAUUGUUACUCAUAAUAAUGUUAUCCAAGCAUACUCAACGUACUUUAACUGAAGCUGCUCAUUUAUAAUUAACCUUAUCACAUGCAUGUCUAGAGUAGAAUGUUUAAUACGUCUACUAAUGUUACAAAGCUUGUAAUUUUACAGUUAACCAAUAAGCCUGUUUAACCUUUAACGAACACUCGACUUGUAUUAGCCUAUUAGAAUCAUACCAAAUAGACAAAGCGGAUUAUCAAUCUUACGUUUAACUAUUAAUAUGCCUAAAUACUUUAACAUGUUAUUUCAUAUAAGCAAUGUUUACUAGCCUGUUAUAUUCAUUUUAACAAAAAAUGUGCAAAUGUAAAAAACCACGAACAUGUCUGCAUGAACCUGCCUGUGUCUGCUGUCGUGGCUACACGGGCCUGCAUGUAAAAUCUUUUGCACCAAAAAUAAAGAAUUAAAAAAAAAAAAAA